rnacentral:rRNA from 1 species
AUACGUAGGUGGCAAGCGUUGUCCGGAAUUAUUGGGCGUAAAGCGCGCGCAGGCGGUCUCUUAAGUCUGAUGUGAAAUCUCGUGGCUCAACCACGAACGGUCAUUGGAAACUGGGGGACUUGAGUGCAGAAGAGAAGAGCGGAAUUCCACGUGUAGCGGUGAAAUGCGUAGAGAUGUGGAGGAACACCAGUGGCGAAGGCGGCUCUUUGGUCUGUAACUGACGCUGAGGCGCGAAAGCGUGGGGAGCGAACAGGAUUAGAUACCCUGGUAGUCCACGCCGUAAACGAUGAGUGCUAAGUGUUAGAGGGUUUCCGCCCUUUAGUGCUGCAGCAAACGCAUUAAGCACUCCGCCUGGGGAGUACGGCCGCAAGGCUGAA